rnacentral:lncRNA from 1 species
AGCUGUCCCACGCAUAAGCUCGUAGAGGCUAUCUCAUGACAAGGUUAGUCCAACCCAUUUUACAUGUCUAGUUUUACAUGUUUAAUCACAUUUCAAUCACGUUACAUAUUUUCAUAAUUUCUCAAAAUAUGUUAUUCCUUCCCAAUUUAAUUAUUUCAAUACUUUCAUAAUAAACAAAAUGCACACCUCAUAGUGUCGUACAGGCUCAAAAACAAAUAGCAACAUACUGAUAAAAUAUAUCCAACGAUAAAUCCAAUAUAUGCAUAAAUAAAAGUGCUUAGAUGUAGGGAUUCUUACUGAAAUUUGUGGACUGACUCAAAUAAGGAUCCGAAUCACAACCUACGAGCUGGGGUGUUGAGUCCCCUGAUCAAAACCUUCUGGCUCCGCUGACUCCUCCC